GUGAGGAAUAUUGGUCAAUGGGCGCAAGCCUGAACCAGCCAUCCCGCGUGCAGGAAGACGGCGCUAUGCGUUGUAAACUGCUUUUCCAGGGGGAGAAACUUGCGCACGUGUUGCGCAAUUGACGGUACCCUGGGAAUAAGCAUCGGCUAACUCCGUGCCAGCAGCCGCGGUAAUACGGAGGAUGCGAGCGUUAUCCGGAUUCAUUGGGUUUAAAGGGUGCGUAGGCGGACUAUUAAGUCAGUGGUGAAAUCCUGCAGCUUAACUGCAGAACUGCCAUUGAUACUGAUAGCCUUGAGUUUGGUUAAGGUAGGCGGAAUGUGUAAUGUAGCGGUGAAAUGCUUAGAUAUUACACAGAACACCAAUUGCGUAGGCAGCUUACUGAGCCGACACUGACGCUGAGGCACGAAAGCGUGGGGAUCGAACAGGAUUAGAUACCCGAGUAGUCC
rnacentral:rRNA from 1 species